GGCUUAGAACGAACGCUGGCGGCGCGUUUAAGCAUGCAAGUCGAGCGGCAAGGGCCUUCGGGCCCCUAGAGCGGCGGACGGGUGAGUAACACGUGGACAAUCUGCCCCCCGGCCCGGGAUAGCCCAGGGAAACCUGGAUUAAUACCGGAUGAGACGGGACCCGCGAUGGCGGGAUCCGGGAAAGGCGCUGCGGCGCCGCCGGGGGAUGAGUCUGCGUCCCAUUAGCUAGACGGCGGGGUAACGGCCCACCGUGGCGACGAUGGGUAGCCGGCCUGAGAGGGUGGACGGCCACAUUGGAACUGAGACACGGUCCAGACUCCUACGGGAGGCAGCAGCUAAGAAUCUUCCGCAAUGGGCGAAAGCCUGACGGAGCGACGCCGCCGUGAACGAAGAAGGCCGUGAGGUUGUAAAGUUCUUUUCGGGAGGGGGAACAACCGUGGCAGGGAAUGGCCGCGGGAUGACGUGAGUCCCGGAAUAAGCCCCGGCUAACUACGUGCCAGCAGCUGC
rnacentral:rRNA from 1 species